AAGUUUUUAUACGACCGCAAAAUUUGAAAAAUUUUUCGUCGUAUAUUGCUAUCACGUUGGCGUCUGCGUCGUCGUCGUCGUCGUCGUCGUCGUCGUCGUCGUCGUCGUUGUCGUUGUCGUCGUCGUCGUCCGGCGUCCGAAUACUUUUAGUUUUCGCACUCUAACUUUAGUAAAAGUGAAUGGAAAUCUAUGAAAUUUUAACACAAGGUUUAUGACCACAAAGGAAGGUUGGUAUUGAUUUUGGGAGUUUUGGUCCCAACAUUUUAGGAAUUAGGGGCCAAAAAGGGCCCAAAUAAGCAUUUUCUUGGUUUUCGCACUAUAACUUUAGUUUAAGUGAAUAGAAAUCUAUGAAAUUUUGACACAAGGUUUAUGACCACAAAAGGAAGGUUGGGAUUGAUUUUGGGGGUUUUGGUUCCAACAGUUUAGGAAUUAAGGGCCAAAAAAGGGCCCAAAUAAGCAUUAUUCUUGGUUUUCGCACAAUAACUUUAGUAUAAGUAAAUAGAAAUCAAUGAAAUUUUAGCACAAGUUUAUGACCACAAAAGGAAGGUUGGGAUUGAUUUUUGAGUUGAGGUCACAACAGUUUAUGAAUAGGGGCCAAAAGGGGCCCUAUUAAGCAUUAUUUUUGGUUUUUGCACCAUAACUUUAGUAUAAGUAAAUAGAAAUCUAUGAAAUUUAAACACAAGGUUUAUGACCAUAAAAGGAAGGUUGGGUUUGAUUUUGGGAGUUUUGGUCCUAACAGUUUAGGAAUAAGGGGCCCAAAGGGUCCAAAAUUGAACUUUGUGUGAUUUCAUCAAAAAUUGAAUAAUUGGGUUCUUUGAUAUGCCGAAUCAACUAUGUAUGUAGAUUCUUAAUUUUUGGUCCCGUUUUCAAAUUGGUCUACAUUAAGGUCCAAAGGGUCCAAAAUUAAACUUAGUUUGAUUUUAACAAAAAAUGAAUCCUUGGGGUUCUUUGAUAUGCUGAAUUUAAAAAUGUACUUAGAUUUUUAAUUAUUGGCCUAGUUUUCAAGUUGGUCCAAAUGGGAUCCAAAAUUAAACUUUGUUUGAUUUCUUCAAAAAUUGAAUAAAUGGGUUCUUUGAUAUGCCAAAUCUAACUGUGUAUGUAGAUUCUUAAUUUUGGUCCAGUUUUCAAAUUGGUCUACAUUAAGGUCCAAAGGGUCCAAAAUUAAACUAAGUUUGAUUUUAACAAAAAUUAAAUUCUUGGCUUAUUUGAUAUGCUUUAUCUAAAUAUGUACUUUGAUUUUUGAUUAUGGGCCCAGUUUUCAAGUUGGUCCAAAUCAGGAUUUCAUAUCAAGUAUUGUGCAAUAGCAAGAAAUUUUCAAUUGCACAGUAUUGCACAAUAGCAAGAAAUAUCUAAUUGCACAAUAUUGUGCAAUAGCAAUUAAUUUUCAAUUGGAGUUAUCUUUCUUUGUAUAGAAUAGUAGUUGAUAAUAUAUGUUGGAAAUUUGCCAGACAUGACUAUGAUGUCAUUUUCUAUUUUU
rnacentral:lncRNA from 1 species